UACGUGGGGGGCUAGCGUUGUCCGGAUUUAUUGGGCGUAAAGAGCGUGUAGGCGGCCAUGUAGGUCCGGUGUGAAAACUCGAGGCUUAACCUCGAGAUGUCAUCGGAAACCAUUUGGCUAGAGUCCGGAAGAGGAGAGUGGAAUUCCUGGUGUAGCGGUGGAAUGCGCAGAUAUCAGGAGGAACACCGGUGGCGAAGGCGGGUCUCUGGGCAGUAACUGACGCUGAGGAGCGAAAGCGUGGGGAGCGAACAGG
rnacentral:rRNA from 1 species